rnacentral:snoRNA from 1 species
UUUAGCCUAUGAUGAGUUGCAGAAUUAUUUGCCUACAUUGUUUGAAAUAGUGUGAUAUUAUCUGCAAAGUUCUGAGGCUAUC